AGUUCUAGAAAUUAAAGCCUGCUGUAUUCUGAGAAGGUGCUUUCUGUUUCCUCUGGGACCAGGGGAGCCCCAUACCACUGAAGGGCUGGUUUCUUCCCUUCAUGAAGCUUUUCCUUCCGGCCACCCACGGGGACCCUGACAUGUGCAGGGCACCUCAGGAGAGAAAGGCAGAGCUCCGUCUUCAACUCAACACAGAAGAAAAACCCGCAUUUUUCAAAGCAGCGAAGACUCAGAUGGGAGCAUCAGGAGGAGAGGCCAUCCUGGUGGUCUGGGGCUGUGGAGCCAGGCUCUGAGGACUCAGUGGGCCACUGACUUGGGGUGAGGAGAGCAAGGGCUAGCCAGGCAGAGCCACAAUAAAAAUGAUGACAGCUAAUGGUAA
rnacentral:lncRNA from 1 species